CCUACGGGAGGCAGCAGUAGGGAAUUUUCCACAAUGGGCGAAAGCCUGAUGGAGCAACGCCGCGUGCAGGAUGAAGGCCUUCGGGUCGUAAACUGCUUUUAUGUGAGAAGAAUAUGACGGUAACACAUGAAUAAGGGUCGGCUAACUACGUGCCAGCAGCCGCGGUCAUACGUAGGACCCAAGCGUUAUCCGGAAUUACUGGGCGUAAAGAGUUGCGUAGGUGGCAUUGUAAGUGGAGCGUGAAAGCGUGCGGCUCAACCGCAUUACUGCGUUCCAAACUGCAAAGCUAGAGUAUGAGAGAGGUAGAUGGAAUUCCCAGUGUAGGAGUGAAAUCCGUAGAUAUUGGGAGGAACACCGAUGGCGUAGGCAGUCUACUGGCUCAUUACUGACACUAAGGCACGAAAGCGUGGGGAGCAAACGGGGUAUUAGAUACCCCGGGUAGUCCACGCCGUAAACUAUGGAGUGNUAGCGUGUGACGACACACUACGACCGUCGUGUCGUAGUACGACGUAACGUACGUACGUACGACGUCCGCCGUCGGGUAGGUACGGUCGGCGACGUAAGUAAACGUAACGUUAAGAAGUAGUUAGGCGUGNGAGNGCGACGGACGACGACGAGGAGGAGG
rnacentral:rRNA from 1 species